AGCGAACGCUGGCGGCAGGCCUAACACAUGCAAGUCGAACGAAGCCUUCGGGCUAGUGGCGGACGGGUGAGUAACACGUGGGAACGUACCUUUUGGUUCGGAACAACUCAGGGAAACUUGAGCUAAUACCGGAUGAGCCCUUAGGGGGAAAGAUUUAUCGCCGAAAGAGCGGCCCGCGUUAGAUUAGCUAGUUGGUGAGGUAAAGGCUCACCAAGGCUACGAUCUAUAGCUGGUCUGAGAGGAUGAACAGCCACACUGAGACUGAGACACGGCCCAGACUCCUACGGGAGGCAGCAGUGGGGAAUCUUGAGCAAUGGGCGAAAGCCUGACGCAGCCAUGCCGCGUGAAUGAUGAAGGUCUUAGGAUUGUAAAAUUCUUUUACCAGGGACGAUAAUGACGGUACCUGGAGAAAAAGCCCCGGCUAACUUCGUGCCAGCCGCCGCCGUAACAC
rnacentral:rRNA from 1 species